rnacentral:misc_RNA from 1 species
UGAAAAUAUGCAAAUGUGUGUUUGAAUGGGCUCUUUCAUUUCACCGUGAGGAAAAGUUUUUAGAUUGAUUGUUUACUGGUAUAAAGGUUUUGGCUUCAGUGUUCCUGUCUCUCUAACUGAGCCGGAUUUCAAAUUGGUAAUUGUGUCAUGUUUCUGCUUUUGACCCGAUUGUGUUUCAAUCUGAAAAGACGAUACUGAUUUAACAUGUUAGUCAUUUUGAUGCUCAGAGAGAAUGCAUUGAGAUUGGAG